rnacentral:rRNA from 1 species
AGUGAACGCUGGCGGUAGGCCUAACACAUGCAAGUCGAACGGCAGCACAGUAAGAGCUUGCUCUUACGGGUGGCGAGUGGCGGACGGGUGAGGAAUACAUCGGAAUCUACUUUUUCGUGGGGGAUAACGUAGGGAAACUUACGCUAAUACUGCAUACGACCUACGGGUGAAAGCAGGGGAUCUUCGGACCUUGCGCGAUUGAAUGAGCCGAUGUCGGAUUAGCUAGUUGGCGGGGUAAAGGCCCACCAAGGCGACGAUCCGUAGCUGGUCUGAGAGGAUGAUCAGCCACACUGGAACUGAGACACGGUCCAGACUCCUACGGGAGGCAGCAGUGGGGAAUAUUAGACAAUGGGCGCAAGCCUGAUCCAGCCAUACCGCAUGGGUGAAGAAGGCCUUCGGGUUGUAAAGCCCUUUUGUUGGGAAAGAAAAGCAGCAGGUUAAUACCCCGCUGUUCUGACGGUACCCAAAGAAUAAGCACCGGCUAACUUCGUG